rnacentral:rRNA from 1 species
AUUGAACGCUGGCGGCAGGCUUAACACAUGCAAGUCGAGCGGAGAUGAGGUGCUUGCACCUUAUCUUAGCGGCGGACGGGUGAGUAAUGCUUAGGAAUCUGCCUAUUAGUGGGGGACAACAUUCCGAAAGGAAUGCUAAUACCGCAUACGCCCUACGGGGGAAAGCAGGGGAUCUUCGGACCUUGCGCUAAUAGAUGAGCCUAAGUCGGAUUAGCUAGUUGGUGGGGUAAAGGCCUACCAAGGCGACGAUCUGUAGCGGGUCUGAGAGGAUGAUCCGCCACAAUGGGACUGAGAGACGGGCCAGACUCCUACGGGGGGCAGCAGUGGGGAAUAUUGGACAAUGGGCGGAAGCCUGAUCCAGCCAUGCCGCGUGUGUGAAGAAGGCCUUUUGGUUGUAAAGCACUUUAAGCGAGGAGGAGGCUACUUAGAUUAAUACUCUAGGAUAGUGGACGUUACUCGCAGAAUAAGCACCGGCUAACUCUGUGCCAGCCGCCGCCGUAACAC